AGCGAACGCUGGCGGCGUGCUUAACACAUGCAAGUCGAGCGGUAAGGCCCUUUCGGGGGUACACGAGCGGCGAACGGGUGAGUAACACGUGGGUGACCUGCCCUCAGCUCUGGGAUAAGCCUGGGAAACCGGGUCUAAUACCGGAUAUGACUCCAUGACGCAUGUUGUGGGGUGGAAAGCCUUGUGCGGCUGAGGAUGGGCCCGCGGCCUAUCAGCUUGUUGGUGGGGUGAUGGCCUACCAAGGCGACGACGGGUAGCCGGCCUGAGAGGGCGACCGGCCACACUGGGACUGAGACACGGCCCAGACUCCUACGGGAGGCAGCAGUGGGGAAUCUUGCGCAAUGGGCGAAAGCCUGACGCAGCGACGCCGCGUGAGGGAUGACGGCCUCGG
rnacentral:rRNA from 1 species